AGUCUCUAAGCAAUGGAUGUCUUGGCUCCUCACACGAUGAAGAACGUGGCAUAAUGUGUUAAGUAACCGGAGUUGCAAACAUCAUGACAGGUUAAUCUUUGAAUGCAAAUUGCGCUAACCUCGAUCUUCGGACCGAGAAGCAUGGGUGUGACAGUACA
rnacentral:rRNA from 1 species